rnacentral:tRNA from 1 species
GCCGAGGUGGCGGAAUCGGUAGACGCGAAGGUCUCAAAAACCUUUGUCCUUGCGGGCGUGAGGGUUCGAGUCCCUCCCUCGGCA